rnacentral:rRNA from 1 species
AUUGAACGCUGGCGGCAGGCCUAACACAUGCAAGUCGAGCGAGCGGCGGACGGGUGAGAAAUGUGUGGGAACCUGCCGGAUGGAGGGGGAUAACUCCUGGAAACGGUAGCUAAUACCGCAUACCAUCAGAUGUGCCCAGAUGGGAUUAGCUAGUAGGUGGGGUAACGGCUUACCUAGGCGACGAUCCCUAGCUGGGCUGAGAGGAUGACCAGCCACACUGGCACUGAGACACGGUCCAGACUCCUACGGGAGGCAGCAGUGGGGAAUAUUGCACAAUGGGCGCAAGCCUGAUGCAGCCAUGCCGCGUGUAUGAAGAAGGCCUUAGGGUUGUAAAGUACUUUCAGCGGGGAGGCGUUACCCGCAGAAGAAGCACCGGCUAACUCCGUGCCAGCCGCCGCGGUAAUUC